rnacentral:lncRNA from 1 species
UUUGGCGUAAGUGAUAGAGGUUGCAUUGUUCUUUUCAUUGUUUUUAUCUUUUCAUCAGUGUAUGGAACAUUUGGAGCAGGAGGCCAGGGAAGGCUUGGAACUGGUAUCUACAACACAGGCCUAGGAGGCUAUGGCACAGGUCCAGGAAGCUAUGGUACAGGUCCAGGAGGCUAUGGUACAGGUCCAGGAGGCUAUGGUACAGGUCCAGGAGGCUAUGGUACAGGUCCAGGAGGCUAUGGCACAGGUCCAGGCAGCUAUGGUACAGGUCCAGGUGGUUAUGGAGCUGGGCCUGGAGGCUAUGGCGGCAGUGCUGGAGGGACUGGUUUUGGUCCUGGUGGUGUUGGGACAGGUCCAGGAGCCACAGGAGGUGCUGGAACAGGAAGAACUGGAGCAGGCCCAGGAGGAGCUGGUGCUGGACCGGGUGGAUAUGGUGGUGUAGGCCCUGAUGGCUCGAGAUAUGGACAAGGAACGGGUACUGGAACUGGAAAACCACCUAAAAGUUAUGGAGCAGGAGCUGGUGGAACAAUAGGAAGACAAGGCUUGGGAACUGGUAUUGGUCCUGGUCCAGGAGGCUAUGUGCCAGGUGGUUACGGGGCUGUUAGUCCUGGUGCAGGCACUUAUGGAUCUGGUGGCACUGGGCCAAGUGGUUUUGGACAAGGUGGUGCUGUGACAGGGGCAGGAGGAUAUGGACAGGGUGGUCAAGGACUGAGAAAACCUCCUAAAUCAGCCUAUGGAUCCUCCUCACUUGGCGGACCUGGUUAUGGACAAGGUGGUGCAGGAACUGGUUAUGGACCAGCUACAGGAGUGGGACCUGGAGGGGCUGGGACUGGAACUAGUGGUUUCGGACCAGGCGGAGCUGGAAGAGGAACUGGUGGUUUCGGACCAGUAGGAGCUGGUACAGGAAGUGGUGGUUACGGACCGGGCGUUGCCGGCACAGGAACUGGUGGUUUUGGACCAGGAGGAGCUGGUACAGGAACUGGUGGUUAUGGACCGGGCGGUGCCGGCAGAGGAACUGGUGGUUUCGGACCAGGAGGAGCUGGCACAGGAACUGGUGUUUUCGGACGAGAAGGAGCUGGUACAGGAACUGGUGGUUACGGACUGGGCGGUGCCGGCACAGGAACUGGUGGUUUCGCACCAGGCAGAGCUGGUACAGGAACAGGUGGUUACGGACCGGGAGGAGCUGGCACAGGAACUGGUGGUUACGGACCAGGCAGGGCCGGCACAGGAAUUAGUGGUUACGGACCAGGAGGAGCUGGCACAGGAACUGGUGGUUUCGGACCAGGAGUAGCUGGCACAGGAACUGGUGGUUUCGGACCAGGCGGUGCCGGCACAGGAACUGGUGGUUAUGGACCAGGAGGAGCUGGCACAGGAACUGGUGGUUUCGGACCAGGCGGUGCCGGCACAGGAAUGGGAGGAUAUGGAGCCGGUGGUCCAGGAUCAGGAAAAAGAAAACCAUCUAAAUCUGGUUAUGGAGGCGCUGGUUAUGGGACAGGAAGCUUCCUAGGAGCAGGUACAGGACCUGGUACUGGUGGAACUGGAACAAGACCAGGUGGUUUUGGUCCUGGUGGUUACGGACCUGCUGGAACUGGUUCAUCUAUUGGUAUUGGCCAAGGUGUAGCAGGAACUGGUGUUGUUGGCCCGAGUGGUUCAAGACCAGGUGGUUUUGGCUCAGGGGGUGUCGGACCUGGUGGGUUUGGUACAGGUGGCGCUGGAACUCUGCCAGGGGGGUUUGGACCACAGGGAGCUGGUGGAUACGGCCCUGGCGAUCAAAGGAAGCCUCCUAAAUCAGGCUAUGGCUCAUCAUUGGGAGGAACUGGCUAUGGACCAGGUGGAGGAGUGGGUGUCCUCCCUGGAACUGGAGCAGGAGGUGCCACUGGUGGAGGACCAGGUGGAGCAGCAGCAGGAACAGGAGGAGGAGUAGGAGGGGAUGCUUCCCUUGGUUUUGGUGGAGGUUAUCCAGGAUAUGCAGGAGCAGCCCAAAAAUCUAAAGCACAGAAAGCAGCUAAAUAUUCCGCUUUGCAGGCUUUACUUGGAGCCGGGGGCUACCGAGGCGCCGGCUGUCAGGGGAAAUACUGUGGCCGUCUAAGGAAGUGAAGGACCAGCACAAAGGAAGUGACCUCACUAAACAACAGUGGUGCUAAUGCUAAUGCCUGAUCCCAUCCUGCAAAUGUUCACUAAAGCGAGGCGUAGCUUCUUCAUUUAUUGUUGUACAGAUCUCUGUGAGUAAGCGAAAGAGCUUGGAUUCAGGAUUUUAAAAAGUUAUUGGUGUGAUUGUAUUUCUGUUUCAAUGCGUUUGGAAUAUUUUUUGAGAUUAUAAUUUUUAAAAAAUACAAUAUUUUGCAAUCAGCUGUAGUAAAAGCAUUUUUUGGGCACAUUAUUUUCUUCUCUGAACAAACCACCUUAAUGUCUGAGCAGAUCCUGAGAAUAAAAAGAUCUACAUAUGUUGUUUAUUAAAAACC